rnacentral:rRNA from 1 species
AUUGAACGCUGGCGGCAUGCCUUACACAUGCAAGUCGAACGGCAGCACGGGAGCAAUCCUGGUGGCGAGUGGCGAACGGGUGAGUAAUAUAUCGGAACGUGCCCGGUCGUGGGGAUAACGUAGCGAAAGCUACGCUAAUACCGCAUACGAUCUACGGAUGAAAGCGGGGGAUCGCAAGACCUCGCGCGAUUGGAGCGGCCGAUAUCAGAUUAGGUAGUUGGUAAGGUAACGGCUUACCAAGGCUACGAUGGGUAGGGGUCCUGAGAGGGAGAUCCCCCACACUGGUACUGAGACACGGCCCAGACUCCUACGGGAGGCAGCAGUGGGGAAUUUUGGACAAUGGGGGCAACCCUGAUCCAGCAAUGCCGCGUGAGUGAAGAAGGCC